GCCGAUAUAGCUCAGUUGGUAGAGCAACUCUUUCGUAAAGAGUAGGUCGUCGGUUCGACUCCGACUAUCGGCUCCA
rnacentral:tRNA from 1 species